rnacentral:misc_RNA from 1 species
UUCUUGGGACUGCCGACACACC